CCUACGGGAGGCUGCAGUGGGGAAUAUUGGGCAAUGGGCGAAAGCCUGACCCAGCAACGCCGCGUGAAGGAAGAAGGUUUUCGGAUUGUAAACUUCUGUCCUCAGGGAAGAAGAAAGUGACGGUACCUGAGGAGGAAGCCCCGGCUAACUACGUGCCAGCAGCCGCGGUAAUACGUAGGGGGCGAGCGUUGUCCGGAAUGACUGGGCGUAAAGGGCGCGUAGACGGCUGUCUAAGUCUGGAGUGAAAGUCCUGCUUUCAAGGUGGGAAUUGCUUUGGAGACUGGAUGGCUUGAGUGCGGAAGAGGUAAGUGGAAUUCCCAGUGUAGCGGUGAAAUGCGUAGAGAUUGGGAGGAACACCAGUGGCGAAGGCGACUUACUGGGCCGUAACUGACGUUGAUGCGCGAAAGCGUGGGGAGCGAACAGGCUUAGAUACCCCGGUAGUC
rnacentral:rRNA from 1 species